GAACCAGAGCCCCAUCCAGAUUCUUUCUGACAUCAUAUAUAAGCAGAUCUUCUGUAUCUCUCAUUUCCUUUAUUUUCUUCCUCAUCUCUCUCCCUUCUCCGAAAACCCUAAUUCAAAGUCUCUCUCUUUGUCUCUGUCUCGUCUGAGACAGUAAACAAGAUCGGCAGCCUGAAUGUAAAUGGAGCAGUCGGUUUAUCCAUGUGAAGAAUUAUUCAGCUGUUGGGUGUGAAGCAAAAUAAUAAAUAAUAGGAAUAAUGGAGGCUAACAUAUGUGAUGUCAAUCACUUGGAUGCCGAUGUCCUUUUGCCUCCUCGAAAACGACUGCUUGCUGGAUUGAAGAAGCAAAGCUCGAAAGCUGAUGGUGCUUCACGUCUCUCACUAGUUGCUUCUCCUUCUGCAUCAGCUUCUGCAUCUGCUUUCGCUUCUGCUUCUGCUUCUGCUUCUGCUCCUGCUUGUGCUCCGUCUUCUGCUGCUUUAAGUGACUUUGAGAUCCGUCUGAACAAUCUAUUGAGUUCUCAUUCAAGUCAUCCUAACCUUACACCAGAGGAAAUAGUAGAGGCCUCAAAAUCAGCAGCUAUUGCUGCAGCUAAGGCUGCAGAGGUUGCGAGAGCUGCAGCUGAAGAGAAGGCUGCAAUAGCGUCAAAAGCAAUGGCUGCGGUCAAGAGUGCUUUAGAUUUGGUUGCCUCAUUUUCUGAAGAGGCAGCCUGUAAGGAAAGAUCCCUGAAAAAGAAUAAGCUGAAGAAGCAUCUCCCAGUUCAGCUCUUGUAUAAAAAAUACCAACCAGUCGAAAAUAAUAGGACAGAUGAAGAGUUGGCCCGUAAGUUGCAUCGAGCUAUAAACAGCUCCCCAAGAAUCUCAAAGAAUUCUUCAAGUUCUGAGUGGAAGGGUCAUAAACACAAGAAGCCUAAAACCUCAGCAAGUUCCGAGAAAAGCAGGGUAUGCAAUGGGGGUAUUUUAUUGGAAAUACACCCCCCAUCUACGUCCAAUGGUCAUGCUGUUUCAGGCAAGAUCAACUCUGACAGCUCCAUCCGGGAGUCAUACACACUUGAAGCAGAUGAAAAGGACUGCAGGUCUGAUAAAGCUAGCCGACUAGAGAUGGAUAAUGGGGAAGCAGAAUCAAGUCAGCCAAGGGAUAAAACUUCGGAAGAUGUGUGUACCACCGGUAAAAAAAGGGGAAGGGUGAAGCUAAAAAGGUUGCCCUUAAGCAUUUGUACCUAUAGGGAUCGGGCAAACCCCAAGGAAGAGAUGAAUGUAAGAAGCUCCCCCAUGACGGAGAACAAAAUGGGAAGCCCUACUGCUGGUGGUAUGCCCUUAUUUUCCAUGGAGCCUUCAGCUGAUGGUGUAAUCCCAAUUGGGGCCACACCAGUGUGGAAAUGCCAGGGGUUCAAAGCACCAGCAUGUGUCAAACAAAAUAAAGUCCUGCAGUCAUGAUGUUCAAAUUGUAAUGUGAUGGCAGGUGGCUACUGUGAUAGAAGUUGAUAGCUGAGAAAUGAUAUUAAUGAGCUGAUCUUGGAAAUCCUCUCAUUUGAUAGAGAAGGUAACAACGGAGACAAAAAUAUAAGGAUCUAUGGACUCUAAUCUUAAGCUUGUUAACAGAAAGCUCAGACCCUUUGAAUGCUCGCCCAUUGCACCAGUUAUGGAUGCACCAAGAUUUUUCAUCUAAAGGAGAUAAAACCACUGCCUCUGUUGUCACUCUGGUACACUUUUUCCUUGAGCGUUACUCCUAAAGACUAGAGAGAGAAUGAAGAAUGAAUGUUUCCGGCAAGACCAACUCAGCCUGAAAUUAUUGGUUGCAGCAGGAGAUAGAAGAGGACAUUUGUGGCUCAGAUAAUCUUUUUUGUGUUUGAAUAAAAAAAGAACAGAAAAUAAAAUUGUGUAAUAUAAGAUCGAAGUUUUUCAAAUCUAUUAAAUUGACGUGUGUUCAAAAUA